AUUGAACGCUGGCGGCAGGCCUAACACAUGCAAGUCGAGCGAGCGGCGGACGGGUGAGAAAUGUAUGGGAAACUGCCAGAUGGAGGGGGAUAACUACUGGAAACGGUAUCUAAUACCGCAUACCAUCAGAUGUGCCAAGAUGGGAUGUGCACGUAGGUGGGGGAAUGGCUCACCUAGGCGACGAUCCCUAGCUGGUCUGAGAGGAUGAACAGCCACACUGGAACUGAGACACGGUCCAGACGCCUACGGGAGGCAGCAGUGGGGAAUAUUGCACAAUGGGCGCAAGCCUGAUGCAGCCAUGCCGCGUGUGUGAAGAAGGCCUUCGGGUUGUAAAGCACUUUCAGCGGGGAGGCGUUACCCGCAGAAGAAGCACCGGCUAACUCCGUGCCAGCAGCCGCGGUAAUUC
rnacentral:rRNA from 1 species